ensembl:lncRNA
UUUUUGAUAUGGAGUCUUGCUCUGUCACCUGGGCUGGAGUGCAGUAGUGCGAUCUCAGCUCACUGCAACCUCUGCAUCCCCGGUUCAAGCGAUUCUCCUGCCUCAGCCUCCGAAGUAGAGAUGGGGUUUCACCAUGUUGGCCAGGCUGGUCUCGAACUCCUGACCUCAGGUGAUCCACCCGCCUUGGCCUCCCAAAGUGCUGGGAUUACAGGCGGGAGCCAUCGUGCCAAGCCGAGCCUUGUGUUUUUUAACAAAUAAAGUAGUAUUUGUUGAUGAAUCAGAACUUUGACCUUCCCUCCCCUCCCUUCUCCUGGGUUGAACUUUACCUUUAACAAGUUAAAAAAAGACACUCACGUGUUGUGUUUUUUUUUUUUUCUCUUCUGUAUCUUUCCCUCUUUCCUGACCUUUGUAGCCCUAAUAUGAAGUGGAAAUAUCAUUUUAUAUAUAUGUAUUUUAUUAUUUGUGUCUGCUGAGUAUUUCAUUAUUUCAUAUUUUUAAAAUUUAAAGUAUGGAUGGGGGAAAUGUGAAUGGGUAGAUCGUUUUCUAUUUCUUUCUUUAAAAAUGAAAUUGCUAGACCAGGCACGGUGGCUCACGUUCGUAAUCCCAACACUUUAAGAGGCUAAGGCAGACAGACCACUUGAGUCCACCAACCUGGGCAAUAUGGCAAAACCUUGUCUCUACAAAAAAUACAAAAAUUAGCCUGGCGUGGUGACACGUACCUAUAAUCCCACCUACUUGGGAGGCUGAGGUGGGAGAAUUGCUUGAACCCAGGAGGCACACCACUGCACUCCAGCCUGGAUGUAGAAGUGAGACUUUAUCUCAAAAUAAUAAUAAUAAAAUGAAAUUGCUGUUUCAUUGAAAGUGGCUCCCCACAAAAUGGGAACCUUUUCCCCUAGAGGUCAGUUAUGCUUCAUAGGAAAAUAUUCUAUGCUGGUCCAGAAAAUGUAUCUGGAGCAAUAGCUAAGAAGAACCUUCUUUUAUUUUCAAAUGCUCCUCACCCACUCUGAGGGACUGUGAGACCCUAGAAUUCUGCCGUCUGCCCCCUUCCCACUGUCCAUCUUGCUCAGGUGAGGCCCCUUCCUUAGAGCCUCUGAACCUUAAGAAGCAGCAUGGACUGCGUGUAGAGAAGGGGCUGGCACCUGGCUCUGCUGUGUUCCAGCCAAGUGGCCUUAGGCAGGUCCUCAAAUCUCAUUUCAUCUCUAAAAGGGGGAUCAUGUUACUGAGCCGACAGCAUUGAUAUGAGGCUCCUGGGAUAGAGGCUGUUCAGGGGCUCAGCUUGGCUCGGGUCCUGCCUUCCCUCAACUGAAAGAACCUGAGCCAAGAAUCACCUGGGGCCAGAGACAUGGCCUGGGAGGAAGGAAGGACAGAGAGCAGCACUGCAGUGCUUCCAGGAUCCGGGAUCCCCUGGCCUCCCAGUGCCAUCCUGAGGGUGGAAGAGCAAGUAGACGGGAAGUGAAGCCACACCCGGCCCCUGUGUGAGCGCUCCCAGUUCCCCCUUGAUGGGGCAGGAGGCGGUGGGGACAGGGAGGUCUGUCCAGGCCCCCCACUCCCCACGGUGAGAGGGCCCCUUCCCCCAUUUCCCCUGGCUGGAGUAUCACAGACUGAGGGUGUGGUAGGAGGCACCCUCCCCUGACUCA